rnacentral:rRNA from 1 species
UACGAGGGGGGCAAGCGUUGUUCGGAAUUAUUGGGCGUAAAGGGCGCGUAGGCGGUGCGGUAAGUCACCUGUGAAACCUCUAGGCUCAACCUAGAGCCUGCAGGCGAAACUGCCGUGCUUGAAUGUGGGAGAGGAUCGUGGAAUUCCAGGUGUAGUGGUGAAAUACGUAGAUAUCUGGAGGAACACCGGUGGCGAAGGCGGCGAUCUGGCCCAACAUUGACACUGAGACUCGAAAGUGCAGGGAUCAAACAGGG